UACGUAGGGGGCAAGCGUUGUCCGGAUUUAUUGGGCGUAAAGAGCGUGUAGGCGGCCAUACAGGUCCGUUGUGAAAACUCGAGGCUUAACCUCGAGACGUCGAUGGAAACCGUAUGGCUAGAGUCCGGAAGAGGAGAGUGGAAUUCCUGGUGUAGCGGUGAAAUGCGCAGAUAUCAGGAGGAACACCCGUAGCGAAGGCGGCACUCUGGGCCGAUUCUGACACUGAGGAGCGAAAGCGUGGGGAGCGAACAGG
rnacentral:rRNA from 1 species